UAGGUAGGUGGUCUUAUUUGUCUGGGGUGAAAGCCUUGGGCUUAACUCAAGAAGUGCCCCGGAGACGGUAAGACUGGAGUCCUGGAGAGGGUCGUGGAAUUCCCGGUGUAGCGGUGAAAUGCGUAGAGAUCGGGAGGAACACCAGAGGCGAAGGCGGCGACCUGGACAGGGACUGACACUCAACUACGAAAGCGUGGGGAGCAAACAGGAUUAGAUACCCUGGUAGUCCACGCUGUAAACGAUGGGUACUAGGUUUGGCGGGUCUUGACCCCUGCUGAACCGGCGCUAACGCAAUAAGUACCCCGCCUGGGAAGUACGGUCGCAAGACUAAA
rnacentral:rRNA from 1 species